rnacentral:rRNA from 1 species
GUGGGGAAUAUUGCGCAAUGGGGGAAACCCUGACGCAGCGACGCCGCGUGAAGGAUGAAGGUUUUCGGAUUGUAAACUUCUUUGGUCGGGGACGAAAAAAAUGACGGUACCCGACAAAAAAGCCACGGCUAACUACGUGCCAGCAGCCGCGGUAAUACGUAGGUGGCAAGCGUUGUCCGGAAUUACUGGGUGUAAAGGGCGCGUAGGCGGGUUUACAAGUCAGAUGUGAAAAUCCGGGGCUCAACCCCGGAAUUGCAACUGAAACUGUAUAUCUUGAGUGUUGGAGAGGGAAGUGGAAUUCCUAGUGUAGCGGUGAAAUGCGUAGAUAUUAGGAGGAACACCAGUGGCGAAGGCGACUUUCUGGCCAACAACUGACGCUGAGGCGCGAAAGCGUGGGGAGCAAACAGGAUUAGAUACCCUUGUAGUCC